GUCUAUGGCCAUACCACCCUGAAUGCGCCCGAUCUCAUCUGAUCUCGGAAGCUAAGCAGUGUCGGGCCUGGUUAGUACUUGGAUGGGAGACCGCUUGGGAAUACCGGGUGCUGUAGGCU
rnacentral:rRNA from 1 species